rnacentral:rRNA from 1 species
GGGGAAUAUUGCACAAUGGGCGCAAGCCUGAUGCAGCGACGCCGCGUGGGGGAUGACGGCCUUCGGGUUGUAAACCUCUUUCAGCAGGGACGAAGGGUGACUGACGGUACCUGUAGAAGAAGCACCGGCCAACUACGUGCCAGCAGCCGCGGUAAUACGUAGGGUGCGAGCGUUGUCCGGAAUUACUGGGCGUAAAGAGCUCGUAGGUGGUUUGUCGCGUUGUUCGUGAAAACUCACAGCUUAACUGUGGGCGUGCGGGCGAUACGGGCAGACUGGAGUACUGCAGGGGAGACUGGAAUUCCUGGUGUAGCGGUGGAAUGCGCAGAUAUCAGGAGGAACACCGGUGGCGAAGGCGGGUCUCUGGGCAGUAACUGACGCUGAGGAGCGAAAGCGUGGGGAGCGAAC